rnacentral:rRNA from 1 species
UUGAACGCUGGCGGCAUGCUUUACACAUGCCAGUCGAACGGCAGCGCGGGCUUCGGCCUGGCGGCGAGUGGCGAACGGGUGAGUAAUACAUCGGAACGUGCCCAGUAGUGGGGGAUAGCUCGGCGAAAGCCGGAUUAAUACCGCAUACGACCUGAGGGUGAAAGCGGGGGAUCUUCGGACCUCGCGCUAUUUGAGCGGCCGAUGGCAGAUUAGCUAGUUGGUGGGGUAAAGGCCUACCAAGGCGACGAUCCGUAGCUGGUCUGAGAGGACGACCAGCCACACUGGGACGGAGACACGGCCCAGACUCCUACGGGAGGCAGCAGUGGGGAAUUUUGGACAAAGGGCGAAAGCCUGAUCCAGCAAUGCCGCGUGUGUGAUGAAGGCCUUCGGGUUGUAAAGCACUUUUGGCGGGAACGAAAAGGACUGUGCCAAUACCACGGUUCGAUGACGGUACCCGCAGAAUAAGCACCGGCUAACUACGUG